GUUUUCUGUCACAAAGUCACAAAAAGCCAACCCCUAAGUUUGGAGAUAUGGCUCAGGUCCCACCUUCGCCGUGCAUGGGAUUUUCUCAACGUUUCAUCGUCGAAAAUUGACAAUGUGGACCUGGUUGAUCCAGAUUCAGACCAUAUGGAGAGUGUGAACGCAGAUAAUCCAGAUCAAGAUCUUGAGGUUAAAUCACACACUUCCGAUGACAGUCCUCGUCUCUCUCCUCAAAGUGAAAUUCUUUCACCUACAAAACAACCCGGGAUCAUUCCCUACCCCUUUUUGCGUGGCAAGCCAGUCUUUCCAAUAGAAUACGCACCACCACAUUUACACACCCAUUGGGAGUGGAGUAGACAGGCCCCGUUGACAGAAGGAGCCACGCCAUGACCUGCUGCCCACCGCAACCUACACACCACCCCUCAUGGGAGGAGAAACUCUCAGUUCAGCUCCGGGAAGGCAGAGACCUCUGGGAACAGUGAGCCGCUGCUCAGCUAACACUAGCAAAUAGGAUAAAAUGAUUGUGUCAUGACGUGUGGGCUUUGGUGCAGUCUGUAUAUUACACCACAGGAUGAAAGGAUAAAAAGACAGAAACAAUAAGUCUGCUGAGAAGCAUCACCCAUAACCCUGUUCUGCACUCUUUUGACAGUGCAACGUUUUUAGAGAAAUAAACUUCCAGAAUGGGUCUGGGAAAUUAUUUGACAUUGAAAGGCACUUGUGUAUCAGAUCAGAGGCAAUAUAAGGAGGGGAUGAGCCACUUAAAAAAUAAAUGGGAGAAAUGAAGUGUAACAAAUAUAAUAUUUAUUUACUUUUAUUUACAUGUAAACUUCAUUCGUGGUUACAUUUUUGUUUUUAGGUUUCUUUACAUAUAAAGUAAAACAAAAAAUGCGGUGGCUUUUUCGGAAACCACUGUUGUGCUUGACUGGCCAUUACUGAAUUCUAAUAGACAAGCUUUUUUGUUUUUCUGCCAUGUGCUGGGAAAGAAAAAAGGAAAGAAUGACAGAAAAAUCUAUCCGUUUGAAAUUGCUUUCCCUGCUCUGGGAGGCAGCGUUUUGAAAGGGCCCAUGUGUUGAUGAUAAUUGCGGAGUGUGGGCCUGAUUAUUCCAGCCACAUGCUUUCUGUUAAGUGACAGAAUAAUUACACACUGGGCUUAAUGGCUCUCCUGAAGAGAAAGAGUGAGAGAGGACGGGAUGAUUGCUCUGGAUGCCUGUGGAAUUCUGAUCGAGUUGUCCAAGCAAGUUGCUGAGGAAUCCGAAACAUCUCUUGUACUCUUAAGUGUCAUCUAGCCACUCUCUCAUAGGUUGUGAGCCAAACUUCACCAGAGAAGGAAGGAAAUUUAUUGGCUGAAUAUGAAGUCAGUUAUUGGUGGGCAUAUAUAAGAUGAAAGACAUUGCUGUGGAGUCUGGAAACAGGUUCCUGGAUUCCCGCUGAGGAUUUUGCCUUGAAAUAAGAGGAGAAGAUGGCAUGGAUUGUCUUGUCAGAGGUAGACCUGAAGCUAAAACUAGGGAAUGACAUUGAAUCAUUGUGUAUUCAUGCUUUAAAUGUCAUUAUCUAUUAAUAUAUUCAAAAAUACAAAAAAAUUGCAUGCAGUCCAUAGUGAUGCU